rnacentral:lncRNA from 1 species
UGGACCACUGGAGGCUGGGCAGGCGUGCCAUUGGACUUGAAUAACAUUGUCAAGGUGUGUGGCUGCCCUCCAAUCUUAGCCCCUCCAGCUUGUCACAGUCUCUACUUUGGGAGCAGUCUUCAUUGCGCUCAUCCUUCAGAGUCUUCAGGAACUCGCUCUUCCUGUCUGUGGUUCGUCGGGUCAAUUUGGUCAGGCGAGAGGAGCUGAUCUCUAUCGGAGGGGUAGUACUGGAGGGACUCUCUUUGGGAGCGUUGAGAACUACACCAGCAGCUAGUACCACUGGUUUAGUAACAGAAACUGGAUUGGUCAAAGCAGCCUCCCGGCUGGAGGAAAGUGAUCCAGAAAAGAUGAAAAGGAAUAUGCACUUAAGCAAAUCGAAGGCACAGGAAUAUCUAUGUCGGCUUGUAGAGAGAUUGCAUGGUUAAGAAAACGAGGAAGAGGAGAGGAACCUGCAGUGUUCUUUCGGUCUCGAAGAAACCACGGAAUUGUUGACAGCUGUAAAUGAACGAGAGAUCUGCCUGGUUUUGCCGCUAGAGUGUUGGAAUUAAAAGUGCAUACCACUACACCUAGAUUUACAAUUACAUUUAAAAAAUUAAAACUUUUCAUUGAGUCUUUAUGAAUUUCCCAUCAUGCACCCCAAUCCCGCUCAUCUCCCCGUCCCUCCAUAUCUGCCCUUUGCCCUUGUAAUCCCCCUCCCCAAAGAAAACAAAGCAAAAAUAAAUACAGAUUAAAACC